CUCCAGCUAGCUCAGUCGGCAGAGCAUGAGAUUCUUAAUCUCAGGGUCAUGGGUUAGAGCCCCAUGAUGGGCA
rnacentral:tRNA from 1 species